UUAAAAGAUCAGGGAAUGAGGUCAGGAAGAAGUGGCAGGACUUUUCAAGCCUAGCUAAAAGAAAAAGGGGCACUGCAGAGGACAACAAUUAAUAAAACAGGUGGUGGGCCUAAUGACGCCCCCAUUCUUACAGCAGAAGAAGAAAAGGCACUGUCAAUUCUUGGAACAACUGCCUCAGAUGGGAUUUGUGGUGGGAUUGACCUCCAUGGAGGAGAAGGGUUGCGUCAACCUGAACCUGAGUCAGGUCCAUCAUGUUCACAAGAGCAAUCAGGUUCACCUCCUAUUGACAGACAGCUACCAUCUCCCAGUCCUCCCAACAGUCCAACAGACCAGCCUCCAUCUUCAAUUGUUCAGGCUACAGCCACAACACCGCGAUUUGAGAAUAUCUGUGGUUGUAGUCAGGACUUGGUACAGCUGGAGCGAGAGAAAUUAGAUGUUCUAAAAGAUAUCAGACAAUCUCUUAAAGAGGCCAAUGAGAUGAAUUACAACUUUCAGAGGGAAAUCAUUGAACUUAAGAAGGCCAAGAUGGCUUUGGAAGAGAGGAGACUUUCACUGGAGGAGAUGAGUUUUGCAAGGCCCUCCAUUUCAGUGCCAAUUAUCUUGCCAGAUGAGUCAGAUCCUGGGGAACAAACUACAAACUUGAAUCAAUAAAAAUUGUUUAAAUGCAA